ensembl:lncRNA
CGAUUUUCUAUCCAAACCUGCAUACAUUUUUGGUCCAUAGAAAUUACAGACAUUUAAGAGGGAGACCAUUGAAAGGCUUCUGAAGGCUUACGAAACCCUUUGGUCAAGGGGCAGCCUUCAACUAGUUCUUCAGAAAUAGCAGGCUGAACAUCCCAUAUAAUAUCACAGAUAAGAUGGAUACAAAAUAGCCCGAAGAAAAUGGACAGAUGUGUGAUUUAUUCAGCUUCUGUUCCGGUAGCUUUAAGUCCUCAACUUUUCUGGAGACAAUGACAGAGGCGUAUGGCAACCCGCAAGCAAGUAGGAGGCUGUCCCAAAUGGAACCCUAUCCCCUAUACAGUGCACUACUUUUGUCCAGAGGCCAAGAAGAAGCCCAUAAUUGGUCAUGUCACAAUACAUUUUGACUGUACGGGGGAACAUCCAGUCAUUGUUUGGUUGGGACUGGAUGACAGUGGUGGAUGUUGUGCAAUGAGCUG